AUUGAUUGCAUGUUUCAUAUCGUUUAUACUCCUUUUCCAUGAAUUAAAAGAAUAAAAAGCAAAUAUAUUUUUCGCAAUAAUCAUAGCUCAUGAGCACUGCAGUGACUGAUUUGUGGCCGAACAUAAAAAUGUGUUUUUAAUUAGCAACUAGUACGUAUCCUGCCGUUUGGAACAGUCGAUGUACUAAUUACGUAUUUUACAUACAAUUAAACAUUCCACCGAAACAGUUUUGAUCUGAGCCAAAUGAAGUGUUGUAAAAGACAAAAGUGUGAAAAAAUGACUCGUGAAAAUGAACAACAACAACAACAACAACAACAACAUCAGGAGAAGAAGAAGCGAAAACGACCACAAAGUAAAAAGAAACCAAAAAGCACAGAUGCAUUGGUUGCCCAAAAUAAAAAUAUAUUUGUAGUUAAAAUGCUACUGAAAGAUGCCAUCAACUUACCUGAAAAUAGGCAUGACGAAUUAUUGGAUACAAUCAAUGCAGUGGUUGACGAAAUGAGCCGCCUGACAGUAUUAGCAUAUCUCAAUGUGCAUUGCAUAUUGAUGCGAAUAUUGAUUAGUGGAAAUACGAAAGCAAUCCACGAUGAAUUUUGGAAAAAGAAAUGUGGAGAUAGGUACUUCUGGGAGCACUUCAAUGGGGUCCGAGAAGGUGGUGUAUAUCCAGAAAAAUAAGAUCCAGCUCAUCCAUUUGCAACCGAACUUGAUCCAAUCGUAAAGACAUUCAUCGAAGAUUUUAAAGUAAACGCACCACCCGCCGUAGGAUUACAGAAUAUUCUUGGCAAUGCUGUCGGUCAUCAUCGAACCAUGUUAAUGAAUUGCAUAUGCGUCCAUGGCUACAGAUGGAUUAAGCAAGUGUUGUUACAUUUCAUUUACGUUUAUGUUUUUCAAAAUGAUAGCAAAUUGUUUAAAAUACCAAAUAAUGCUACCAUAAAGCAGAUAAAAUACAACAAAACGUAUCGCCAAUGGAUAAAGUCAACGAUGGAACAUUUGAAACCACCUAAGGAUGAUAAAAAUGAAAAGAAGAAAUAUAAUUCAAAUUCUUUGGAGCAUGAGCCUCAACAAUUAAUUAAACAGCUGCACGAUAAAUUAAAACCAAUGAAUUUCAACAUGAAAAAUUAUGGUGCCGGCUAUUUUAAUAAUUUACAUAGCGACAAAGAAGGCAAGUGGUACAAGUAUGUGCCAUUCUUUUAUGCCCUACAGCAAUACAAUCGCACAGAGAAUGAAAAAAACAAACAACGCUGGAUCGAAUUCAAAGCGACAAUUACUGCUCAGCAACAAGAAGAAGAAGAAGAACAGAAAAGUCAUCACCGUCGUCGUUAUCCAAGUUUGCUAUUACCGCCCAAAUUGAAGGUAUUUCAAGUGUUUCCCGAGUCGCAUUUUGGACAGGAAAGCAUCAGCGUUGAUCGCACUGGUUUCGUCAAAUUGAUUCGUUUGAUAAACCACCCAGGGGAAAAAGACGAGCAGGAAAGUGGUUCUAGAGAAGUCAGAGCUUAUCGAACUAAAAAAGCCAAAAAAUUGAUUUAUGCUUUAUGGCGAAAAUUCUUCAAAGUUGAUCAAAUCGAGGGCGAACGUAAUGCAGUAUUUGGUAAUCAUUUUAACACGAACGGCGUAUCGAUUUCAUUUCAAAUGCAUCGCCGCAAUAAUAAUGCUGCUUCUACAAUACCAGCAGCAAAGAAAACCAAAAAGAAAGCCAAUACUAAAAGCACGGCUGCCGAGGAGGAAGAAAUAGCAAAAAUCAAAGAGGAGCAACGACAAAAAUUACAAUCGUGCGAUCGUGAAGUGGUACUAGAUGUGGGCAAACGGCUAAUGAUUUGUGGUUUAAUCAUCGAUCAUAAAACGGGAAAAUAUCGCCAAUUCAAGUUUUCUUCGCGCCGUCACUAUCGUAUGUGCAAAACUAAAUUUUUCCAGAAACAACGUGAACAACUGACUGCGGAAAUUGACAAUGAAAUAAAGAUGGAUUGUGAAAAAAUUGAAAAGGAAUCAACGGAUAAACUACAGCCUAGUAGUCGUUCACCCCAAUUCGAAGAAUAUGCCAAACAUAGAUUAAAGUUUUUCACCCGAGCCAUGGCAGUGUAUAAUACCAAAGCAUAUGCUAAAAUCAACCAAAAUGCAUGGGCACAAAGGACAAGUGCAUUAAACGACAUUGUUCGUAUGAUUGUUGGCCGGAGUAAAAAUGUGGUGGUAAUUGUUGGUGAUAAAUUACCAGCAGCCAAUUCACCUGGUUUUGAAUACCAAGGCACCCAAGUGCAUGCCCUUUUCAAAUUACUCAAUGAACAUCCGCGGUGUACAGUGUAUUUUGGCAGCGAACAUCGUACGACGAAAUGUUGUUGCCGUUGUGGUGAAGUAUUGUAAGAUGCUCGUAUGAGCGAGAGUCGUUACAAAGCUUGGAAGGAGGAUCGAUUAUGGCAUCGAGGCAGCCGCACAAAAAAGAGUCGCACCAAAGUAUGCUUGGUGUGUAAACCAAUGGACAUUGCAUCUAUGUUGCCAACAAUGCGAUCACCAUUGCCAGACAAAGGGAUUUAUUUGUUGAAAAAUAAACGUGAAUUGAGAUUAGAGCGAAAAGCUGCACGUGCGAUAGCCAAUGAUGAUGCUAAUGCAAUUACCAAAGAUCCACCAACAAUGGUAAUAAAUGAUGCUAAUAAACAGAAAUAUCGAUAUACUCAUGUUAAAAAGAUACAUUAUACAUGGAAGAGUAAGCAUAAAAUUUCAAAGACGACGGGUAAACGAGUUCGAAGUCGUAAAAUCAAAUGGCGUAUGCACGAAAAUGAAGAAAAUAUCAAUUUCAAUUUGUCCAUGUGGAAACUACAUAAAUGCAAUGGUGCUUAUGCAUUAGAUAAAACUGCAUCAAGAUCAUUCAAUCGCGAUAUUAAUGCUGCAAUAAAUAUUCGAACACUGUUUUACUGCGAUACAUAUGAUGUGCCACGACCUGCAAAUUUCACCGAAACGGCAGAACACCAAAAGGAACGAACAAAAAAGCGUAAAGAGGAGUUGGAUGAAGCUAGAAAACGUGCCAAUACAAAUUAUCGUCGUCUCCAAUGCCGCCGUCGUCGUCUUCGCCGAAAUGUAAAUGCUUCAGAUGUGGAAGAAGAAGAACUGAUAAGGACAACAUUAGUUGAUUGUUUCAACGACAACUAUGACAACAAUGAAAGCGAUGUAUCUUCAUCAUCCUAUGACAGCGAUCAAAGUGACAAUUACAGUGACUUCAGCGACGAUAAUAAUUGAAAUUUAAAAUUCAUAUAUGAAUAAAAAAAAUUGUAAUACAAUAUUCCUCCAAUUUAAUUAAAGAUGAAAUAGUAAAGUAGCAAUGGCCAAUAUUUAUGGCCGAAAUCGUUA